UGCCUGUUGGAAGAUUGCAAAAGCCCUUUUCCAAUUUCUUCGAUUUUUCCUUCACCACAAUCGCCCCUGCCCUGCGCAGCUGCACUGGCCACACAGUACACACGAAAAAUGACAGUGUCGCCUGUCGGUUCGCCCUACUCAGAUAUGGUUUAUUUUUAUAUUCUUGUAUUGUUUAUCUUUGUGACUUUGUGUGUUUGUUUAAUGGGUUAAUUUUGUUUGGUGCUUAAUAGCUUAAGUAAUGUAAAAUAAUGUAAAAGUUCUCUCUAAAAUUUGGAUUUAAGGGUUUUUUUUUUACCCCAAUUCACAACACGUGUAAGUGUAAUUAUAACUUAUAAGUUCACCAAAUUGUUUUCACUUUUCAGUGUCUAUUGACUAUUAUGAUAUAUUUAUUAUGUAUUUAAUUAGAAAUGGAUUUUCUGCCUAAAUUUGUAUUAUGUAUAGUGGUUCACUGGUUCGGAUUAGUUUUGGUCUAACACUUCCUCUUCUGACUUGUUCUACCCAGAUUUGUCCACUGUAAUAAACGAGAAAAGACGUCUGUACCCGCACACGAGAGUGACGAGACACUUCAUCCCUUCGCCCAUUUGCCAAUUCACGGCAUGUAUGUAUAAUUGUAUGUGUUAAGUGCUAACUGCUAAGUUGGCAAAUUUAUAUGUGCUAACUACUCAAUACCAUGUUUAAAAUUAAGGGUAUCAAUUUGGCGUGAAAUUGGCUUCUCCCCAUAGAUAUUGAUAGAGCGUCUAAAUUUGGAGCAGAAUUGCAGAAUUCUUUGUCCACUUGGUGAGCAAGUUCUCUGGUUGGAGCUAAUAUUAAUGCCAAAGGAUUCCUUCCUCAGGUCAGUGACUUAAGUUAAUGUUAAAUAUGUUAUGAUUUAUUCAUUUGGGAAUUAAAAAAUUGCGAAUUGUGAUUUAUGAAUUAUGAUAAGUAAUUUACGUUUUAUGAGUUAUGAUUAUUGAUUCGAGAAUUUAUGUUUACGAAAUUAUAUUUGCAAAUUGUGAUUUAUGAUUAGUAAUUUAUGUUUUGAUGAGGGAUGAUUAAUGAUUUGGGAAUUUAUGUUUACGAAAUUAUGUUUGCGAAUUGUGAUUCUAAUAAGUAAUUUAUGUUUUGUAAUUGAAAAAUAAAUUGGGACAUUUUGCAGAUAAUGGAACGAUUUUUUCAACCAAAACGAAAGUCUAUACCCAAUUCUUCUACUUCUAGUUGUGCACCUAGUCCCGCCACUGAUUCUAGUUGAGCAUAAGAGUUAUUGAAUAACACAAAGAAGUCUUGGGUUCAAUUCAAUGUAGAUGAUCUUGUGUCGAGUCAUAUGAUCUCAUCAAAGAUUAUGUUAGGAUGGCAUACUUGGAUAAAGGUCAUUGUCAAUCAUAAGGACAUGAUUUUCUAAGAAGAUCGGUGGGGAAUGAUAAUAGAUGUUUUCGGAAAGAAUGGUUCUCCAAAUUUUAUAGGUUGGAAUACAGUAUAGAAAAUGAUGCGGCGUAUUGUUUGCAUUGCUACUUGUUCAAACUCCAUAGAGGAGGGGUCAAGGGGGUGGACAUAUAUUUACUAAGACCGGCUUUAGGGAUUGGAAGCAGAAAAAGACAUUGAAUGAUCAUGUCGAUCUUUUUGAUAGUGCUCAUAAUUAAGCUUUUGCAAAGUGUACUAACUUGAUGAAUCAAAAGCAAAGUAUCUCCUACGUUAUUUUUAGCCAAAGUUGUAGUCAACAACAAAGUUAUAGGACUAAGUUGACUGUGGUGCUAGAUUGUACUAGACUUCUCUUGAUGCAAAGAUUGUCAUUUCGUGGUCAUGAUGAAUCCACAUGCUAUGUAUGUUCAUUGCUUUGCUCACCAGCUUCAGUUGACAAUUGUAUCUGUAGCACGUAGGAAUUGUAUGCUCGGUGAUUUUUUUGACAUACUUGCUAUUAUUGUGAAUUUGGUUGGUGCAUCAUGUAAGCAUAUAGAUGCUCUUCAAAUAAGUUAUCAAGCUAAUAUUCUGGAGAAGCUUAAUAUUGGGGAACUUACUUGUGGAAGUGGUUAGUUUCAAGAUAUGAGUUUGGCACGCCCAGGUGAUACUAGGUGGGGCUCACAUCUAUUGACAAUUACUCAUUUCAUUAAUAUGCUUAAUGCUAUCAUAGAUGUUCUUGAAAAUAUAUCGGAAGAUGACGUACAUUUAGAUCAAAAAUCUUUAGCCGUAAGACAGAUGAAAAGCUAUGCAAGAUUUUGAGUUUGUGUUCAAUCUCUACUUUAUGUUUGAAAUUCUAGCAAUUACAGACGACAUUUCACAAGCCUUACAGAAAAAGGAUCAGGAUAUUCAGAAUGCUAUGAGGUUAUUGAAUUUGUGUAAGUGUGCAUUACAGAACUUGAGAGAGAAUGGUUGGGAUACUUUGUUGAGUAGGGUGAUUGAGUUUUGUGUUGAUAGACAUGUUUUAGUGUUCAAUAUGGAGGAUAUUGUACUAGUGAAAGGUCGACCUAGGCGUGUAGCUCAGCAGGUGACUUAUUUUCAUCGUUUUUAUGUUGAUUUGUAUUGUCAUAGGAUAGACUCAAUCUUGCAAGAGUUGAAUGAUCAUUUUCCAGAAACAACUACUGAGCUCUUUACUUGCAUUUCAUGUUUAAGUCCAAGAGAUUCAUUUGCAGCUUUCGAUAAGGAUAAAUUGCUACGUCUUGCUCAGUCCUAUCCGUUGGACUUCAAUAGUGAAGAGUUUUUAUUACUUAGAACUCAGCUUGAUAAGUUUCUUUUGCUUGUGAAAAAAGACGAAACUUUAUUUAAUCUCAAUAGCAUAUCUUGUGUAGCUCAGAAGUUGGUUGAAACUAGAAGUUCCUGUUAUUUUUCAUUGGUUUAUAGGCUUCUCACCUUGGCUUUGAUAUUACCUGUGGCAACUGCAAGUGUUGAAAGGGUAUCUUCUUCUAUGAAUCUAAUCAAGAAUGAUUUGCCCAACAAAAUGGGAGAUGGCUGGUUGAAUGACAAUUUGGUGGUUUAAGUAGAGAAAGCUAUUUUUAAAAAACUACAGAAGGAGACAAUAUUGCAACAUUUUCAAGUCAUGAGACCCCAUAGAAUGCAAUUGUCUAUAUUUACAAUUACAGAGUGACUGAGUAAGGUUGUAUCGUAUAUUUUUUUACUAUUUCGGGUUGUAUUGAAGUAUAAUUUUAU
rnacentral:lncRNA from 1 species